GUGAUAGAGGCGCGGGCUUCAUCAAUAGCCGGAACAACGUAGGGAAAUACGCCGGCAAAAGGGGAUCCCGCCGAAGUGUACACGCCUCCCGAACGUGUAUGCUGGGACAGCGUGAAAGACGCGCUGUACUGUCGUCAUGGGGAUCACCCCGACGGAGUGCUAUUCGA
rnacentral:ncRNA from 1 species